AUUGAACGCUGGCGGCAGGCUUAACACAUGCAAGUCGAGCGGGGUGAUGGUGCUUGCACUAUCACUUAGCGGCGGACGGGUGAGUAAUGCUUAGGAAUCUGCCUAUUAGUGGGGGACAACAUCUCGAAAGGGAUGCUAAUACCGCAUACGUCCUACGGGAGAAAGCAGGGGAUCACUUGUGACCUUGCGCUAUACGAGCGGCCGAUGUCAGAUUAGCUAGUUGGUAGGGUAAAGGCCUACCAAGGCGACGAUCUGUAGCGGGUCUGAGAGGAUGAUCCGCCACACUGGGACUGAGGCACGGCCCAGACUCCUACGGGAGGCAGCAGUGGGGAAUUUUGGACAAUGGGGGAAACCCUGAUCCAGCCAUGCCGCGUGAGUGAAGAAGGCCUUCGGGUUGUAAAGCUCUUUCGGCUGGGAAGAAAUCGCACAGGCUAAUACUCUGUGUGGAUGACGGUACCAGCACAAGAAGCACCGGCUAACUACGUGCCAGCAGCCGCAGUAA
rnacentral:rRNA from 1 species